ACGCGCUUCCGGUUCCGCCCCCCGAGCGCGCAGGGCGCCGGUUGGGCCCUCGGGGUGGGAUGGCGGCGGUUGGGAGUUCGCAGCUUCCUCCUGAGGGCAGGACCCGGGCGGGCUGCGUCGGGGGAGGGCCGCGGAGGGGGGAGGGAAGGGCUGCACUCGGUCUGUGGUGGGACUGCGCAGCUCCCCGGGCGGUGGGCUCGGCCCCGAGCCGCUGGAGCUCGGGGGACACCGCUCGUACACGGGUGUGGGUUUGGGCGCUGCUGUGUGGCGGCGGGGUUUGGGCUCGGCGGGCCUUCCGUCUGGGCCGCCCUGUGGUUCUGAGGUGAGCACGGAUGGGGCUUGCUGGGUGGGAGCUGCUUGCCGGCGCUCAGCUUGCAGGUGCUAGCGUCCCAAGGGCGCUAAAACCACCUACCCCAUCCUCUCCCUGUAGUUCCAACUCCAGUAGUUUGCUCUUCAAGUGAUGUUUUGUCGAGUCUGAGUGGCUCUCUCACAGGGGCCGUAAGGACCUGGCACCCCCCAGUGCAGAACAGCUGCCCGCUCCCUGUUUAGCUGCAUAGGAGUUUUUUCCCCUCUUACUCUAAUCUUCCUGCAGGGAGAACAAGUGCUUAGGUUUCCUUAUUUUGAUGUGUUUGAAUUUUACAAUUAACUUCUUCCACCCUGGAGAGGUACUGGGCAUUUUUCAAGGCUAACGUGCAGUUGUAUGAGGGAUUGCCUGAAACCAGAACGUUCAACUGAACCUGGCUUUUCUCGUCAAUUAGUACUUCCCAAUAUGAUAAUUUCACCAAAAGUAAACGUUCUGUGAGCUGAAUUUCUUUACCAGAUGGUUUUGCCCACUGCUCUGACGAGUAGAGGUUAAGGAUUUUUCCACGCAUCUUAUUGAAGAUAAAAUGUAAGGGAGCUUAUACUUCAACACGUGAGGUAAAAAUUCCCUCUGCCCAAGAGCGUAUUUCAGAAACCACAUCAACAUUAUUUAGGGGAAUUGACAGUGAUGUCCUGAUACCUCUCUGGGACGUGCUAGAAAGCUGGACAUGCUGGUUAUUUUUAUUGUGUUUUGGUUUCUAGUUCAAAUACUUAGGAAGGAUGGGAUAGAGCAAGCCAUUUUCACUUGACAACUAAUUCUUCAGUGCACUGUGCACUUCAAGGACCAGCAAGCCUUGUGGCCAGCAGUCCAGACUGCCAGCAUCAACCCUGCUGCCUGCAAUUGCAGCUGGGGCAGGAUGCUUUGGGCCAGUAAUGAAGAAAAAAUGAACAACCUGCAAGAAGGAAGGUUUUCUUUCCUAGCUGUGUGCAGGCAGACCCUAAAAAUAGAAGCAGAACUGUGGACCUGAUACGUGCAGCAGGUGAGGUCGUCAGGAGACAGAAUGACUCUUACUGAGCCCGUCUUGAAGACAGUCACUGCUGUAGAAGAGCACUGAAGCACAGUAGUUUGCGUAGCGCUGGAUUUCCAACUUUGCCUUCGUAUGGCAUAGAAAAAGUAAGGUCACUUGAUUGCCUUUGUUUCUUCUGUUUCUUCUCCUUGAAGAAACAGCCCUCCUCAGAGCCUGUAGGUCACACUGUCCAAACUGCCUCCAUCCUGGGAGGGGAAGGGCCGUAGGUCCAUGGUACAGAUGUGUACAGGCUUAUGUUGCUGCUGCAGAGCAGUGUGGGUUGCCUGCGCUAAAUGCAAUGGGAUUUACAUGUGAUGCUCAGGCAGUGGCAGUUUCACACGUGCUCCCCCUCGCACCUAAGCAAAGUGAGUCCUGCCUCGUGAACGAUGAACUGCCUUGCAUCUGGACUCAGUCCAAGCCUUUCACAUCCUCUGAGAACCUCCCGUGUGGUAUAUGCAACAGGUGGAAGGCCCUCAGCACGGAGAUUCAGGCUCCAGCACUCAACGGCCAGCUGGAAGAAGAGGGCUGGCAGCCCGUUUCCAUCUGGUUGCUGAUGCUGUGAGCCCUCUGUGUUCCUGCGGGGAGGACAUCCCCUUUUCCUCCACUCCCAGAACCCACAGCUCGCAGCAUUCCAAGAUUCUAAAGGCAGGUGGAACCAUUCAGAGAUGCUUACAGAGGAGAGUCUGCAACAUCUCCAACUGCUUGGAGGCACUUCAGGUCCCCGAGUCUUCCAGACUGCAGAGGUCCAGUUGUUAUUACACCACAAGCUUUAAGCAUUUUGAACGUGAAAGAGAAAAAAGAAGGGGAGAUUUCCCACGUGUGUAAACUGGCAUUAUACAGUCCAAAUGCCAGUAGGUGGCACCCAAGAAUGUGCAGCUCUGUUGGUUGGCUUUGUGCAAGCCUCGCUGCUUGUUGGCAGCUGCACCUCGGUGCUGUCGGCCUCUGCUCUCCCCGUGGCCACGAGGAAACCUGCAGGAUUCUUCCUCUUUUUAGUGUUUGAUUUCAAGUGCUGUAGGAAACAGUGUGGAGAAAUCCAGAACUACACUCAGCAGUGCUACUUGUUAUUAAGGCGUCCGUGCGAGGAUGCUGCUUUCUGAUGCCUGUAGGUUCACUUCACGUCAGUCCUGCGUGGUGAGACGGCCCCGAGAGCUGCUGCUUCCUGUGGGGCUCUGUUCAGAAUGUGCAGCUAGACAGAGCUGGCCUGAGAGCAUUUCUGGAGUGUAACACGAGUCUUGGCCACGUUACUGGUCUUCUUUGCAAUGUUUCUUCCAGUCCAGAGAAAUGCAAGAGAGCAGCUGAAGAGUGCAGGCCUGCAAGGAAGUCAAACUGAGUGAGCAUAGGCGAUCACAUCCCACUUCUUAAGGCCUCGGUUUUGCAGUCCCACUGAAAUGCUAUUUGUACCUGGGCUCGUGCAAGGAGAUGGGCUGUGUUUGUGACUGGUUUCCUGCGCUGAGUGAUGCUGUCACUGACUCGUGCAAGCAGCGCCCUGACAGCCAUGCUGCCUUCCUCCAGCAGCUGCGAGCAAGGAUUGCUUCUGUGCAGUGGGUAGGCUGAGAGUUCCCUUCUGUUGGUCCUGGUCUGGCAAAAUGUUUAGGGGAUGAGGCAGCUCUGCCCCUCAAGGUGUGAAGGCAGAGCUGCUCCAGCAGCAGGAGCACCUGGCUGGGCGGAGGGCCUCUCGCAGGGCUUAGGGCUGCAGAGAAGCCGCGUUUGUCCGGGGAACACCAGGCAGGGGACCAGGAGAGCGAGAAGGAGAGAAAGCGGAUGAGCCGCUAACAACUAAACGAGGUGGCAGCUGUCUCCUAUUGGCACCUGCGGCUUGUUGCGCUCACCGGCUGAAACGCCCUGCCCAGGAACAUCGCUUUGGGAAGGCUUUGCACUGCAAAGGGGGGGAAGGCUGUCGUAGGAACGCCGGCAGACCUCGAGGCGCUGAGCGGCCUCCCCUGCUGAGUCCCAGCGGGGAAACCGGCGCUGCGCAGCCCGCACGUUAACCCGAGCUGCGGCCCGUGCUCCACAGGCACGGGAGCGCUCAGAAGUUAAUUAAAUUCCCACCCACCACCUGGCCCGCUCCUCCUCCUCCUCCUCCUCCCGGUGCUCUGCUCUGAAGCUCCAACACAACAGCGGGAGAGGGGAGGGGGUGUAAUUACGGAGCUCCACGGAGCCAUCUCCGCGGCGCCUCACGGCUUGUUAGUUACAGCUUCCGCUGCACCGCUUCGCGGGGGGACGGCGGGGAGGGGGGAUGGAGGGGCAGCGAGAAGGGAACGGGGGCGGAGAAGGGCUGGGGGAGAGCAGAGCGUGGUUCGCCUGCAGGGCGGUGAGGAAGCAGGCCGGGCACUGAGGGAUGCUGAGCGCGGCCGCUGCCCGCACUGCUCCCCUCGGAGCCGCACGCGGUCCGUUCUCCUUCCCCGGCGGUGCAGAGCGGUGCUCAGGAUCCAAAACCCCGUGCACGACCCUCAGCGCUGCUGCGUGGAGGGGGGGGGUUCUGGAGGGCGGAACCGCUUUCCCAACAUAUUAAAUCUUCUCUGAGAAAACAUUUCCUUUCCCAAAUCAGCCCAGUUUUCUCGCAACGUAACUGCAGCGGCGUUCCACCUAUCUCCCAGUUCAGGCAAAUAAGAAUCCUCAGCGUUUUCAGGUGAAAGAAGUCCCUUCUCCUGUAAAGAGCCAGCGCCCUUGGGGUAAGGACAGACGGACCAAGCCAGCAAGGAAGUGAUGCCCGUUGGCUCCGCUUGACCUUGAGCAGCCAUCCACUGGAAAACAGCAUUUCUGCUGCCCCCUGCUGCAGGGGUCCUGUGUCCAGGGGAAGGGUUACCCUUCAGACACUGCAGGUCAGCCGGAGCAAGCCGUUCGAAGGAAUACGAUGGGGUGAAGAGGGUGCACGUCUGCAGUGUAAAACCGUCUUGAGUCCACCUGCAGCUUCUGAAACGGGUAGAUGUGAAUUCCCUCUUCUCACAGAAGGGAAGGGGCAGCUCGGAGCAGGUAGGGCUGUGUUCUUGAAGUCUCGGAGCUGCUCUGCCAAUAGUUAACUCUGACUUCCUGAUUUCCAUUUUGUUUUGGCAGCUCCCAGUCAUGUUCCUCUCUCUCUCUCUCUCUCUCUUUUUUCCUGGAAAAUUUCCCUUAAGGAACCACCGGUGAUGACCCAUGAGACAGUGUGUGAAUGCUUUGCAUUGUGCAGUGCUUUGACAUUUGGCAUUCCUAUGGCGUUAUCCCCCAUCAACGCAGAAUAAGUUGUCAGAGCAUGAAAUUGGUAUUUUUACAUAUUCUUAACGUACAGAUGUCAUCUGAAAGCCUCGCACAGGCAUUAUGAUUAAACUCUCUGUUUCAUUCUCUGCCCGUGAACAGAUCUGUUUGGAAGAUCCCUUUCCUUUUGGGGGGGGGGUUAUAGAGAAAAGGCAUAGCCUUAAAAAGUGGCAAUUCUACCCAAUAUUACCAUCGAAAGGUGAAAGCUGAGUUUAAGACGUUGUGCGCUGAGUGCAAUACAGACUCAUAAGUGCAGAGCAGUAGUAUUCAAUUUUUAGCACCUGUGUUCCUGGCACGGUAGUAAGAAGUGAACAAGUACCAGAUGGAAUAUAAUCAGUGACUCAGUUUCUUGUGCCAAAUAUAUCAACAUGUUCCAAAUCAAAUCUGCUCGGAGCGUACAAGUUUGUUAUUCUACGUUAAUUACUGUCUAAGAAUGGCAGGCCCUUAUGGGAGGAUUAGUAUGGCUAAACGUAACGUACACGGAGGAAGGAGAGGAAGGGCACGAGAAGGCAUCCAUGUGGGACCCCAGAUCUCUUGGUUUGGUUUGUUUGAUACAGAAGGAUGGGGACCUUUUCAAAGUUUCCUGUUGGAAGGCAGAUCAGAUGCCCUUGCCUUUGCUGUCUGCCCCUGUCCCAGGGAGCUGUGCUGUGAUGGAAACGAAGCUUGGUGCACAGUGAUACCAGAAGCUGCGCAGCCUCCACCGCUGGGAUUUUGGGGAUCGGGCUGCAUAAAGCUGUGAGCAUCCUCCUCUGACCUCAUAGCUGACCCUACUGUGGGCAGAAGGUUGGGCUGGAGACCUCCCGAGGUCCCUUCCAGCCUGUAUUGCCCUAUGGUCGUGUUCUCUCAUAGGCAGAAGUUAAAAGAAGAGGACGUUCAGCUCUGGCAUGGCAGAUCUUUCUGCUCAAACCCUUCCCGGCUUCUGUACAAAGAGUGCUUAACGCUGCACAGAGCCUCAUCCCAGUGCUGCUGUUUGCCAUGCUUAGCUAGAGGUACUGGGGGGAAAGAAGCAGAUAAGGACAUAGCAAAAAUAAAACCAGAAACCAAAGUUGUAGACUUCACUGAGUUCCAUUAGUUACUGGAGAAAUUGCAAGCUGAUUACAUUCUUAUUCAGAAUGGAAGAGGGUGGAAAGACAUGACGGCACUUUGUAAGCACAGUACUCCUAAGGACAGUCCAGGAGCAAGUUUAGAAAGCUGCAGGCUCAGUAAAAUGCUAGAAGACUUCUGAGGCUGCUUCAUGGUUACGAUGUGGCUGUAUACGAUGUCCCGAAACUCCCAUCUUUCAACCAGAUGGCUGAUAACGGGGUACAUGGCUUCUGCUUGGCCACACGGUCCAUGUGGAAGACUGAUUUCAAGGGCACUUGGAUUGCCUGCAGCCCAAUCCAAGCCCCAUCACAACCGGAGGGAGGUCUGCCGUGGUUUUCUGAGCAGAUGAAUGAGCAUCCUCUGUCCACAACUCACCGGUGUGUAGGGCCUACCCAUCCAUUUAUUUGGAAAGUUAUGGACAGUUUCCCUCUUCCUGGAGGAGUACCUGUGGUUCUUCAGGUAGGGGUAGAGCAGGGCCUUGUAAGGAAAGUCCUGUGGAAGACUGCGGAGGAGUUGCCCUGGGGACACCACUUUGUUUCUCUCUCCUUCCCUUCUGCUCAGACUCCUGCCUGAGUGUUGGUCUGGCUGCAAAACGCAGCAACCAGGAGCUCAGCCAAGCCACUGUGGUUGAGUCCAUGGGGCGCACCAGAACACAUCCAGGCAGUGGAGCCUUUACACAGGCGCUGUGCCUCCGGGGGCACCUACCAGCAAAAGUAAUGGGAGCAGAUGAAAAUAAUCUGCUUGCAGUACCUCAGAUCUGCUGCCGAAGUCGGUACAAUGCAAAAUAUGAGAAUGGGUCUCUUUUGGGAAACGAAUCAAAGCCAAAUAGCUUUGGCAGCUGGUUAAGCAGCGCUCUGUGACUGCAUCAAGAUUGCUGUCUUGCACAUUUGGCCCAGGAAGCAAUGGGCAAGACAGCCUUUCUCUGCAAGCAUCAGUGACUGUGAUUGGCUUUAUAACCACAGGUUUCCCUCCAGUGCACUCUGUGGGGCUGAAGAUCUUCUUCAGCGGGCCCAGGAGCAGACAUAAGUGUGAGCACAGAUUGUUUUGCCCGGGACGAAAGGACACGCUGGACCUUGGGUGUGGUUUGUCAUGGCUAAGAUCUCAGGGACUUGUGGCCAUUGGGAUGGCACACUCAGACACGUACAUGAUGCCAUCAGAAGCAGGCCAGCAGAGGAGAAAAUAGCCCAUGAAGUUAGUAUAAGAGGACAUGGCAGAUCUAAUGGGCGACUUCCGUUGACUGGAGGCAACGUUUGUUUUCCCAACCAGGAGUGAAAAGUUAAUCCUGGUAGGGAGAAAUCUGUUGCGGUGCUCUGCAGGAUUUCUCUUACUUCAUUAAACUCUGACAUCUCAGAGGGCAAAUCCACAUCGUUACAUUGUCACUUCUGCCUGAAAAUAUGCGUGCCGGUUCUUAAAGUAAGCUUAUUUUUCCUUCUUACUUUGUGAGUGUAAUCAUGCAAUAAAUCGAACUGAGGGCUUUUAUUUACUUGUUAGCAGCCAGUGGGUGUCAGGUCCUAUCUUCAAGCUAAGGUAUCAAGCUAAGGAGUCAGUCUGAGCCCAGAGAAGAUGUCCUCCAAGCUCUGUGGCCGCAGUACACUGUCCUGCAGUGAUGUGACCCAUCAGCGUGGCAGCAGCACAGCCCCUGCCUUCCCUUCUCUUGGCAGCACCCGUUGAAGGAGCACUGCCCAGCGCAGCCUCCAGCUCUGCUCUCACCCAGUUGGCCAAGCAAUCUCUCCCCCCGUGUACUAGAGGUCUGUCAUCACGUCUGCCCCUUUCCCACUCUGUGAACAGCAUCAGUAGGGAUGUUACAUGCUCUUUCGGUAGCUGGCAGAGUUGCUGUAGUUCACUUACUGGAGCACGCCUCCAGGAGAAGCCAUCCUCUUGUGCACGCGCCAGGUCGAAACACUCUGCAUCUAGCAGAGCACCUCUCCUUCCUCCCAUGCAUAAUGCUUACUGCUGACAUCAGGCCCCUUCCCAGCAGGCGCUGUAUCCGCCUCUGCAGCAAUGCAAACCAUCAUCUGUUCCCAUGCUCACAUUGUGCUGGAGUGCAGGGCCCGACGCUGGGGUGGCAGGUCUGGCUGCUGCUAGUGUGUGCUUUGCAGGAGUGCUGUGGAGCCUGCUGCGUGGCUCUGGCAUUGCACCGCACUCUCCAGAUGCAAAAGCCACGAGGCAGAGCAAGAGGCAGAUGUGAGAGCAGAGGCAGACGGGUAGACAGGGACACUGCUGCCCCACGUAAGGCUACUGGUGAGAGAACCUGUGUGUAUCCCGUGGGUUACAGGAGAGACAGGGGUCCCACUCCGACACCUAAACAAAGCACAGUGCUCACCUGCUGGAUGUGCCACUCCCGAGCAGAGGCUGUUGGAGGAGCACAGCGCAGGCAGCGCGCCGAGGAGGAGUCCCAGCGGAGACCUCAGGCUCUGCCACAGCGGAGAGGAGCUCCGGAGAACUGCGAGCACCUGAGAGCAGCCAUCCUGCAGGCAGCCAGGGACAUCCCGGUGUCAUCCCGGCUGCUGAGGCCUCGUUAUCUCACCCCUCACAGCUAACAGCUGAACGCGGGCUCCAGCCACCGGGGCUCCGAUUCGGACAGGCAGAGCGACGCGGGUCCAACUCUCCUCUCUGAUUCCCGAGGGCAGGGUGCGAGGAGGGCCGGGCUGGGCACAGGAGGUGCUCAGAGCCACGGCUGCGCUCCUGGGAGCCCCGCUGCGGGGGACGGAGGGAGCAGCCGGGCACGGGGCGGGCGCGCAGCCACGCAGCGCCCUGCGGGGAGCUGUCAGCCCCGCGCUCCCCGGGCUGCUGUCGGAUCGGGGGCUGCGCCGGGAGCAGCGCGGCGUCCUCUCAGUGCCCGGCGCUGCCUUCCCCCGGGGCACCCGUCGGUGUGAGCAGCGCUCAGCUCCGGGCUGCGGCAGCCCCGUGGCCGCGACGCACGCCGCCGGGCACAGCCAGCACAGCUCCGA